AACGUGUACAGUGAAAUGUAAAAAAAAAAAAAAAUAAUAAUCCAAGUGUUUGUGCUUGGCGACCAACACUGUGACGCUCUUUUAAAGUACUAUUUUAAAAGUGCGUUAUAGCAUGGCGCAACCAAAGGUGCAGUGGUUCAAUAAUACUAUAGUGUCGGAACAACAAAUAGAUGACUAUUACGCUGAGUCAAUGCGUUCAUUAUUCCUACUUUACCUACCAAAGUUUCAGUGGCGUCAAAUGAAAGUAAAGAUUGUUGCAUUAGAAAUGUAAAUGAUUUUUAACGGGAAGAAUGCAUUAAUAAUUUCAGUGGCAUUUAAAGAUGUAACGACCUAUUUAAUAGGGAAUGGAAAUUUUACAAGAAGAAAUACUUAGUUAGUUUCAGUGGUAUCAAAAGAAAACAAUCAUUACGUAGGAAAGUUUUAAUUAUAUUGCUUUAAAAAAAAAAAAAAAAAAAAAGAAAGAGAAAAAGAGAGAGAGAGAGAGAAAAGAAAAAAAAGAAAGGGAGAUGCAUGCUGUGACUUAACUUGGUCGUAUGGGUUGAACACAAGUUUUCUCGUGAAGUUGAUCGUGAAUUUGGUGGUGUGAUUUUCUUUGUUUUGUCAAGAAGAUCUUUCUCAUCUUGCUUAGACCAGUUGUGUAAUUAGUGUUGUCUGUGGUCUGUGGCCAUUUUCGGUUCUCCUAAUUUUCAAAAAGUAACAAGCAUUGAAGGAAAGAAUAGCAUUUCCAUGUCUCGUAUAAAAUAAAAACAGUCGUGCCAAAUGUAAAAGUGAAAAAUGGUCGGUGUCGUUUCAAAGUGUUCCUUUUUAAAUUUUAAAUUCAGAAAUUUUGUAAAAAAAAAUCCAUUAACAUUAAAGAAAGAUUUGUUUCAGAACAACCACAACGAAAGGAUAGAAGGAUAGAAGAAUUCAUCUUUACUCCAAUGUAUUUGAUACAUUAUACAAAUAAAUUAUUUAAAUUGGCAAAUACUUCAAAGUGCAAUUCUUUUAAUACUGAUGAGACACAUAAAAUAAAUUAUACGCAAUAACCUCUCACCUAUCAUUCAGGCAAAAAUAUUAAGUAUAGUACCAUCUAAUGGUGGAAGUAAAAAUUGAUUCAUAGUAGUGUUCGUGUUUGUCAUCAUCAGUAAACAAAGAGCUUACACUAUAAGAACCACGUGCCAUUACUCCAGCUGGUGCAUCCUCCGUUGGUGUUGUAUAUGAUUGAAUUUCCGUUUUUGGAGGAUAAGAACCCACCAUAUGCAUCAUCUUAUCCACUGAAAGGAUAACAAGGCAAAUGAAUAUUAAACAUGUUAAGCCAUACAUACGGUACUGUCAAUACUUUGUUUUAAAAAUACCUGUGACACCUAAAGCAGAAA